GCCGAGCCACCCUGAUGCCCUCCCCGAUCCACAUCUCCUAGAUCGGCCCCCCUCCCCUCAACCUCGUGCUUCCUCUUCGGUUCUCUCUCGCCGUCUGUAGACGAUUGAUUUGACUUGUCUGGUUUGGUUGCAGGCGGUGGAUUACGGAGUCCACAAGCUCUGGGAGAUGAACAACGUCGGGUGGUCCUCCCCAUCAUGUAUGAGCUACCUGAGUCACCACCCGGGUUCUUCGAGGAGGAGGGCACGGUCUGGUGGCACGCGCACAGCGACUUCGACCGCGCCACCGUGCACGGCGCCAUCGUCGUCCACCCCAAGCGCGGCUCCGCCUACUCUUACACCAAGCCGCACAAGGAGAUGCCCAUCAUCCUCGGUACAUGCAUAUGGAUCAUUUGGAUUUUCAGUACUGCUAUGAACUGCAUGCAUGCUACGACUGGUAUGCAUGACUUGAAAAUUGAAAUUCUUCAGAGCUUGGAUUGAGAUGUAUAUGUGCCUUGCCCCCGUAAUCGGCGACAAUUUGUAUCAUUUCUCUACUACUAGUAUGCUGAUUUGGUACUAUGUGGGAUUGUAUUGAGUGUAUUAAUUUUGUAAUUGAUUCUUUGAAUGAUUUGUGAGAUUUAUAGAAUUUGUAUCAAUUGAUUUAA